UUAAGCGACUAAGCGUACACGGUGGAUGCCCUGGCAGUCAGAGGCGAUGAAGGACGUGCUAAUCUGCGAUAAGCGUCGGUAAGGUGAUAUGAACCGUUAUAACCGGCGAUUUCCGAAUGGGGAAACCCAGUGUGUUUCGACACACUAUCAUUAACUGAAUCCAUAGGUUAAUGAGGCGAACCGGGGGAACUGAAACAUCUAAGUACCCCGAGGAAAAGAAAUCAACCGAGAUUCCCCCAGUAGCGGCGAGCGAACGGGGAGCAGCCCAGAGCCUGAAUCAGUGUGUGUGUUAGUGGAAGCGUCUGGAAAGGCGCGCGAUACAGGGUGACAGCCCCGUACACAAAAAUGCACAUGCUGUGAGCUCGAUGAGUAGGGCGGGACACGUGGUAUCCUGUCUGAAUAUGGGGGGACCAUCCUCCAAGGCUAAAUACUCCUGACUGACCGAUAGUGAACCAGUACCGUGAGGGAAAGGCGAAAAGAACCCCGGCGAGGGGAGUGAAAAAGAACCUGAAACCGUGUACGUACAAGCAGUGGGAGCACGCUUAGGCGUGUGACUGCGUACCUUUUGUAUAAUGGGUCAGCGACUUAUAUUCUGUAGCAAGGUUAACCGAAUAGGGGAGCCGAAGGGAAACCGAGUCUUAACUGGGCGUUAAGUUGCAGGGUAUAGACCCGAAACCCGGUGAUCUAGCCAUGGGCAGGUUGAAGGUUGGGUAACACUAACUGGAGGACCGAACCGACUAAUGUUGAAAAAUUAGCGGAUGACUUGUGGCUGGGGGUGAAAGGCCAAUCAAACCGGGAGAUAGCUGGUUCUCCCCGAAAGCUAUUUAGGUAGCGCCUCGUGAAUUCAUCUCCGGGGGUAGAGCACUGUUUCGGCAAGGGGGUCAUCCCGACUUACCAACCCGAUGCAAACUGCGAAUACCGGAGAAUGUUAUCACGGGAGACACACGGCGGGUGCUAACGUCCGUCGUGAAGAGGGAAACAACCCAGACCGCCAGCUAAGGUCCCAAAGUCAUGGUUAAGUGGGAAACGAUGUGGGAAGGCCCAGACAGCCAGGAUGUUGGCUUAGAAGCAGCCAUCAUUUAAAGAAAGCGUAAUAGCUCACUGGUCGAGUCGGCCUGCGCGGAAGAUGUAACGGGGCUAAACCAUGCACCGAAGCUGCGGCAGCGACGCUUAUGCGUUGUUGGGUAGGGGAGCGUUCUGUAAGCCUGUGAAGGUGUGCUGUGAGGCAUGCUGGAGGUAUCAGAAGUGCGAAUGCUGACAUAAGUAACGAUAAAGCGGGUGAAAAGCCCGCUCGCCGGAAGACCAAGGGUUCCUGUCCAACGUUAAUCGGGGCAGGGUGAGUCGACCCCUAAGGCGAGGCCGAAAGGCGUAGUCGAUGGGAAACAGGUUAAUAUUCCUGUACUUGGUGUUACUGCGAAGGGGGGACGGAGAAGGCUAUGUUGGCCGGGCGACGGUUGUCCCGGUUUAAGCGUGUAGGCUGGUUUUCCAGGCAAAUCCGGAAAAUCAAGGCUGAGGCGUGAUGACGAGGCACUACGGUGCUGAAGCAACAAAUGCCCUGCUUCCAGGAAAAGCCUCUAAGCAUCAGGUAACAUCAAAUCGUACCCCAAACCGACACAGGUGGUCAGGUAGAGAAUACCAAGGCGCUUGAGAGAACUCGGGUGAAGGAACUAGGCAAAAUGGUGCCGUAACUUCGGGAGAAGGCACGCUGAUAUGUAGGUGAAGUCCCUCGCGGAUGGAGCUGAAAUCAGUCGAAGAUACCAGCUGGCUGCAACUGUUUAUUAAAAACACAGCACUGUGCAAACACGAAAGUGGACGUAUACGGUGUGACGCCUGCCCGGUGCCGGAAGGUUAAUUGAUGGGGUUAGCCGCAAGGCGAAGCUCUUGAUCGAAGCCCCGGUAAACGGCGGCCGUAACUAUAACGGUCCUAAGGUAGCGAAAUUCCUUGUCGGGUAAGUUCCGACCUGCACGAAUGGCGUAAUGAUGGCCAGGCUGUCUCCACCCGAGACUCAGUGAAAUUGAACUCGCUGUGAAGAUGCAGUGUACCCGCGGCAAGACGGAAAGACCCCGUGAACCUUUACUAUAGCUUGACACUGAACAUUGAGCCUUGAUGUGUAGGAUAGGUGGGAGGCUUAGAAGUGUGGACGCCAGUCUGCAUGGAGCCGACCUUGAAAUACCACCCUUUAAUGUUUGAUGUUCUAACGUUGACCCGUAAUCCGGGUUGCGGACAGUGUCUGGUGGGUAGUUUGACUGGGGCGGUCUCCUCCUAAAGAGUAACGGAGGAGCACGAAGGUUGGCUAAUCCUGGUCGGACAUCAGGAGGUUAGUGCAAUGGCAUAAGCCAGCUUGACUGCGAGCGUGACGGCGCGAGCAGGUGCGAAAGCAGGUCAUAGUGAUCCGGUGGUUCUGAAUGGAAGGGCCAUCGCUCAACGGAUAAAAGGUACUCCGGGGAUAACAGGCUGAUACCGCCCAAGAGUUCAUAUCGACGGCGGUGUUUGGCACCUCGAUGUCGGCUCAUCACAUCCUGGGGCUGAAGUAGGUCCCAAGGGUAUGGCUGUUCGCCAUUUAAAGUGGUACGCGAGCUGGGUUUAGAACGUCGUGAGACAGUUCGGUCCCUAUCUGCCGUGGGCGCUGGAGAACUGAGGGGGGCUGCUCCUAGUACGAGAGGACCGGAGUGGACGCAUCACUGGUGUUCGGGUUGUCAUGCCAAUGGCACUGCCCGGUAGCUAAAUGCGGAAGAGAUAAGUGCUGAAAGCAUCUAAGCACGAAACUUGCCCCGAGAUGAGUUCUCCCUGACUCCUUGAGAGUCCUGAAGGAACGUUGAAGACGACGACGUUGAUAGGCCGGGUGUGUAAGCGCAGCGAUGCGUUGAGCUAACCGGUACUAAUGAACCGUGAGGCUUAACCUU
rnacentral:rRNA from 1 species